rnacentral:tRNA from 2 species
UAGGACAUGGUGUAUGUUGGUAGCACGAUGGAUUUUGAAUCCUUAGGGGCAGGUUCGAUGCCUGUAGUUCUAG